CGAGGGCCAAGAGUGUGCACGUAUGCGAGCUGAACCAGUCGCCAUGGGAUGUGAUUCCUUCCACUCAAGAACCAUACCCAUCGUAUCUUCAUCACCGGUUUGAACCUGAAGAUAUCUUUAAUGGAAAUGGGAGCUUAGGCGAUUCUAUUGGCGCUGUCGAGAGCGUAGCGUCGAUGAUGGACAAUGAAGAUAAAUCGAUUAUGAAAGUCGAACGCG